UUUAUACAAUGUUUAGAUUUAAAGUAUAAAUAUCUGCUAUAAUUAUUACUAUUCUUUAUCGACUGAUAUUCCUUAAAGUAUAUUGUAUUUCUCUUUGCAGCCUUCCCCUUCCUUUAACUACUCACCCUACAGCCUUUUGAGAUACUAAGAAGACUGUUGGAGGACAAUUCAUAGAUCAUAGAAUUCCUUGCCAACAAAGCGUUUUGAUGGGGUAUCCUUGGGAGCAGAGUGGUUUGAGUUGAUCAAGAGGAAAAUAACCGGCCUUUCUCCCAUCGGCUCAGUGCCCCCACCUCCAUGCGAAGUGGCGGCUCAGACUUUGGUGGCUCUCUUCACGACCCUGGUCCAGCUCUGAAACCCUGCCAUGCUCAAGGCCCAACCUAGCUUCACUCAGUGGUGGUCACUGGCCUCAAAGGUUUAUCAGUAUUUCCUCUUUGAAUCCUCACAGAUGCCAUUAUUUCUGGUUUACAGGUGCCUUAAAGAACCUAAGUGGUAGUGGAUGGGUCUGAAUU